UACAGAGGGUGCGAGCGUUACUCGGAAUUACUGGGCGUAAAGCGCACGUAGGCGGCUUUGCAAGUCAGAUGUGAAAUCCCCGGGCUUAACCUGGGAACUGCAUUUGUGACUGCACGGCUGGAGUGCGGCAGAGGGGGAUGGAAUUCCGCGUGUAGCAGUGAAAUGCGUAGAUAUGCGGAGGAACACCGAUGGCGAAGGCAAUCCCCUGGGCCUGCACUGACGCUCGUGCACGAAAGCGUGGGGAGCAAACAGG
rnacentral:rRNA from 1 species